CUCACGUCUAAGUUAUCAAAAAGUAUCGCUUCUUGCAACUCCAGGAGGUACACGCAGAAAGUUUCAGACUAUUAUCUGGAAGGACAACACUCUCACGGCGGGUAUCCUGCCGACUACGCCAUAAAAAAAAUGUCUCGCUCCAAUUUAUAGGAGGGAGAAGAGGUUCUUUGAAAUAUGUAUGCCCGGCGUGAGAUUAAGAAACAACGGUUCAAAUGUUGGUCCGACCAGUUUA
rnacentral:lncRNA from 1 species